UACGUAGGGUGCGAGCGUUGUCCGGAAUUACUGGGCGUAAAGAGCUCGUAGGUGGUUUUUCGCGUUGUUCGUGAAAACUCACAGCUUAACUGUGGGCGUGCGGGCGAUACGGGCAGACUGGAGUACUGCAGGGGAGACUGGAAUUCCUGGUGUAGCGGUGGAAUGCGCAGAUAUCAGGAGGAACACCGGUGGCGAAGGCGGGUCUCUGGGCAGUAACUGACGCUGAGGAGCGAAAGCGUGGGGAGCGAACGGG
rnacentral:rRNA from 1 species